rnacentral:lncRNA from 1 species
CCCCUGCGGAAGCUGGUGCUCCAGAGCCUGCUCCCUUUGCUGUUGCGCCUGCAAGAUCCCAGCCGGGAUGCUGCUGAGAGUUCAGAGUGGACCCUGGCCCGCUGUGACCAGGCCUUGCGUUGGGGCCUGCUGGAGGACAUGGUCACUGUGGCCCACUAUGACAGCCCUGACGCCCUAAGCCGCAUCUGCCACUGCCUGGCUUCCUCGUCCAUCACACCAGCCCCGGCCGUGUCAACCAGGACCUGCUGGACUCCCUGUUCCAGGACCUGGGGCAGCUGCAGAGUGACCCAGAGCCCGCUGUGGUCGCCGCGGCUCACGUGUCCGCCGGACAGGUGGCUCUGCUGCCCGGCGCCCGGGGCCCGCCCCGCAGCCUGCGUCUCCUCCGCCCAGGCCUCCGGCACCACACCUGGCCCAGCAGGCCCCCACCAGUCUAUGCCAACAGCCCGUUCCAGCCCCGGAGCUUCAUAGGCCGCUGGGGCAGCUUGGGACCUGGCUGAGCCUGACCCCCAGCUAGCCCGGAGGGUGCCUGUGGUCUGAGUCCGGCCGUAUACUGCUCUGUGGCCAGUCCUGGCAGGGGCAGGUGUGCAGAAGCGGCUCGGCGUGAGGGCCCCCCAGGCCUGGUACUGGAUGCGUACAAACCCUCUCUCUCUAGGAACGCGCUGCCACGACAGCCAUGUGACCUAGGACAGCGGUGCCUUCUGUCCGAGCACCAUCUUGCCCUCGGCAGCCCCCUUGCCUCUUGCACCCAUGGCCCCUCUGUCCCCACUCAGGCCUGUUGUUCUCCCAGCUCCCUGGAGUGUGCCCCGCCCCAGCCUGGAUGACACCUGGCCUCCCGAGCUGGGGUCGGGUGGGGACACCGAGAGACUGGCCCGACCCUGUGAGCUGGCCCCAUGAUAGGGUGCCUGCUUCCUGGUCUUUGCACACAACCUGGCUCAGCUUCCCCGCCCGGUCUGGGCUCUCCUCCCCAGCAGCCUGAAGUCCCCCAUCGCGUGUCCCACUCCUUGCUGGCCUGUCCCCACUCCCCCCACACCCACUCCUGUGCCUCGUGUCAGACCUCACUUGAGCCUUCUCCAGGUUUCCCCACUGGCGGCUUGGGAUGGUUCCUGUGCCCCCGGUGUGGAGUGCCACCAUCUGCGCCCACAGACUGAGCCCUCAGCCGGCUCUCCAGCACCCUGCUUGGGCUCAAACGAGGACAGCAUGACCGCACAUGCCGGGCGGGAGCCUCUGUGGGGGCUGUGGCCGAGCCUGGCUGGGCCCUGGCUGCCUCUACCCACAACGCCUGCCUUGAAAUGUUCUCUUGCCUUUCAGGGCCCAGCCCCACAGCCAUCUCCUCAGAGAGCCUUGGCUCACACAGCCUCUUGCGGGGCUGGGUCCAGCCCCCCAGUCUGGGCCCCCCCCUGUGGAAAGUGUUUAAAAUAAACACAGGGGUAUUAAAAGG